rnacentral:rRNA from 1 species
AUUGAACGCUGGCGGCAUGCUUUACACAUGCAAGUCGAACGGCAGCACGGGGGCAACCCUGGUGGCGAGUGGCGAACGGGUGAGUAAUGCAUCGGAACGUGCCCCGUCGUGGGGGAUAACACAUCGAAAGAUGUGCUAAUACCGCAUACGACCUGAGAGGGAAAGCGGGGGACCGCAAGGCCUCGCCCGGUGGGAGCGGCCGAGGUCUGAUUAGCCAGUUGGUGGGGUAAAGGCCUACCAAGGCGACGAUCAGUAGCUGGUCUGAGAGGACGACCAGCCACACUGGGACUGAGACACGGCCCAGACUCCUACGGGAGGCAGCAGUGGGGAAUUUUGGACAAUGGGGGCAACCCUGAUCCAGCCAUGCCGCGUGCGGGAAGAAGGCCUUCGGGUUGUAAACCGCUUUUGGCAGGAACGAAACGGUGCGGGCGAAUACCCUGUGCUAAUGACGGUACCUGCAGAAUAAGCACCGGCUAACUACGUGCCAGCCGCCGCGGUAACAC